CCCACCAUGGAAGUGCUUCAAACAGAGUUAGCUCUCAAACAAUCUGGGGCUGAGAAGAGGUGAAAGUUUAAAAGGAGCUGCCAAAGUAACAGAAUUAGGAUGAGUACCCAUUAGAUUAAACUGAAAAGGCAUUUGUUAAGUUCCUACUGAUCCCAGAACACCACGCUGGUUACCAAAUGAGGUGCAAAGUUUAGGGUUACCCCCCAGGACCUUGUAGCAGCAUCAUAAUAGCUGUGUGGCUACCCCUGUGGAGAACCAUCCUGGCCUGCCAGAAUAUGUACAGGUUAGGGUAUUUGGGGCAACUCCAAUCCAAGGAUAUAAAGAGAACCUGAAGAGAGAUCUUAUGUCAGACUCGGAAUGAAUGAAAUUAUGCCUCCCUUGGAAGAGAAACUAUAAUUUCCAGUGGAGGAAAAACACACUCAAAGCUCUUCCCUCCAGCCUGAAUCAGCCGUUCAGAGGAUCUGAAGAUUUAGAAGAUCCGUUUGUCCAAAGGCCUCCUUUUACAUACGAGGAAGCUGAAGACUGGAAACGUGAAGUGACUUGCACCAAGGUUACAGAAGUAACAGUUAGUAACAGACAGGAAUUCGAACCCGAGCUAGUGAACUUACAGGCUAUCAAAGAAGCUCAAGGAUUCGUUGGUACCUCCUGAUCCUGCAGGAGGCAACAAUUCUCUCCUUCCCUGUAAAUUAAGGUAGUUUUGACGUGUUCACUUAGACUUAUAAAAUGUUUAGAAUUUGACGGAACUUUAGAGAUCAAGUUCAUCUGCCUCCUUCACUUUACAGGUGACAAAACUGAGGCAAAGAGAAAAAAAUUUUUAAAAAUGAAUUGCUGAAAGUCACUCAGUAAAUUGCAGAACCUGAAUUCAAAUUCUGAUCUUUCUA